rnacentral:rRNA from 1 species
ACGAACGCUGGCGGCAGGCCUAACACAUGCAAGUCGAGCGAGGACUUCGGUUCUAGCGGCGGACGGGUGAGUAACGCGUGGGAAUGUGCCCUUCUCUACGGAAUAGCCCUGGGAAACUGGGAGUAAUACCGUAUACGCCCUAUUGGGGAAAGAUUUAUCGGAGAAGGAUCAGCCCGCGUUGGAUUAGGUAGUUGGUGGGGUAAUGGCCUACCAAGCCGACGAUCCAUAGCUGGUUUGAGAGGAUGAUCAGCCACACUGGGACUGAGACACGGCCCAGACUCCUACGGGAGGCAGCAGUGGGGAAUCUUAGACAAUGGGGGCAACCCUGAUCUAGCCAUGCCGCGUGAGUGAUGAAGGCCUUAGGGUUGUAAAGCUCUUUAAGCUGGGAAGAUAAUGACGGUACCAGCAGAAGAAGCCCCGGCUAACUCCGUG